AUUGAACGCUGGCGGCAGGCUUAACACAUGCAAGUCGAGCGAGCGGCGGACGGGUGAGUAAUGUCUGGGAAACUGCCUGAUGGAGGGGGAUAACUACUGGAAACGGUAGCUAAUACCGCAUACCAUCAGAUGUGCCCAGAUGGGAUUAGCUAGUAGGUGGGGUAAUGGCUCACCUAGGCGAAGAUCCCGAGCUGGUCUGAGAGGAUGACCAGCCACACUGGAACUGCACCACGGUCGAGACGCCUACGGGAGGCAGCCGUGGGGAAGAUUGCACAAUGGGCGCAAGCCUGAUGCAGCCAUCCCGCGUGUGUGAAGAAGUCCUUCGGGUUGUAAAGCACUUUCAGCGAGGAGGCGUUACUCGCAGAAGAAGCACCGGCUAACUCCGUGCCAGCAGCCGCGGUAAUUC
rnacentral:rRNA from 1 species